UACAGAGGGGGCGAGCGUUGUUCGGAAUUACUGGGCGUAAAGGGCUCGUAGGCGGCCAACUAAGUCGGAUGUGAAAUCCCCAGGCUUAACCUGGGAACUGCAUCCGAUACUGGAUGGCUUGAAUUCGGGAGAGGGAUGCAGAAUUCCAGGUGUAGCGGUGAAAUGCGUAGAUAUCUGGAGGAACACCGGUGGCGAAGGCGACGUCCUGGACCAAUACUGACACUGAGGAGCGAAAGCCAGGGGAGCAAACGGG
rnacentral:rRNA from 1 species